GUGAAGGUGGAGUAACUGGUAACUCGUUGGAUUCAUGCUCCAAAGCUUCGGGUUCAAGUCCCGGCUUUCACA
rnacentral:tRNA from 1 species